rnacentral:RNase_MRP_RNA from 2 species
CUCUCGCUCAAAAAAUCGCAAUCAAAGCUCACACACAGACAGCGCCUUCGCGUGUUCGUCAAAUACACACAGCUUUGGGAGAAAGUCCCCGGACACCCUGUAUUCGCUACAGGACAGCGGAAACGCGCCGCCACAGAAGCACUUUGCGGCUCAUCUGGCUUCGACCUCCAUCCUCUCCUACCACCCAUCUACCGUUCGCACUCUCGCUAACACGCCUCGCUGCUCGGACCAUGUUGAGUCUGCGGACCGGCCGCCUUCGGGUGGCUGCCUCGCAAGAGGAGACGAGGAUAUGAGUCUGCUCUUCAGGCUCGGCGGGUCUCUGCUGCAGUGUUGAACAAGAGAGGGAGGAGGUGGGCGGGAUACUGGUAAGAGACAAGUCGGGCUCAAGGUCGACGACGAGAACUUUUCGUCGUGGUCGAUAGAUAUGCGAUUGCCUGCUCUCGCCGCUGACCCAGAUCACUCGAAAUGGGUCGGUGGUUGGGACGGGUAACUCGAUGGGGCUUAUUCUUGAGGCGAGG